ensembl:lncRNA
AUGACAAGGCCGGGACACUUAAAGAAGAGACACGUCCUCUCGAGAGUCCCCUUCUUGGGCCGCAGAAUGUUCUCCGAGACAAAAGGGGUCGGAGAGACACGCAUUCAACCCACCAGUUUAAGCCAACUACAAAAUGGAAUACAAAGACCUCAAGCGGACAUCCUUGCCUAUUUUGGGACUGGGGAACACGGAACGAACACCUGUGGACCAAAGCAGCAGAAUUCCCCCCUUAAUGGAUACACUGCCAAAAAACAUUUAGCUGUUCAGGGGGGUCAUGCACAGUUAGACGUGACUGGCCAGAUUUCUCAGACCAGCGUGCAGUUGAACCGGCCUCCAGGGAACGGGCUGCAACAUAACAGCGUCUCUGUGAACUACAGCUUGAGAGAAUGCAGCUUUGUGGUCCACCGGCACCAGACCGAGCCACACCCCUUCUUGAGGAAGUGUGCUCGAGACGCGCCAACACAGUUCAGAGGUCAUGGAAACUGUGGAGUGCCUGUUUGUGCAGCUGAGCAACAAUCGGGCUCUGUGCAAGGGGCCUUGCUUACGGAACAACAUGCAUCAGACUGGAUGGACGCAAGCGGUGCUCACAAUUCGACCUUUAAUAAGGAUGCAGAACUUUGCCCUUCUAACAGACAGAGAACUUUAUGUAAAUGCCCGGGACCUGUAAUGCAAGACUUAAAUGGACCUAGUCUGGUAAAUGAAGUUAUGCUGUCUACCAAAGAUGUCAACAAGACCAAUUCGAACCACCUUAAGUGUCAAGCAAAGGUCGCCCAAGUGGAUCUCAGUGGACCUGGAAGAGGGUCUUAUGCUUUCAGCUCUAAGCAGUCAGAGAGAGCUAUUCGGGACCAGAUCCAAAGAGUUGUUGUGAAUCUUGAGGAGGUUCUACAUGGCCUGAAAGAGAUACAUCUGGAAAUGAAGGAGGUGGUCCAGAAGAUAGACCUUCUGACAGCCGAUAUUGACAUAGGCAAUGAGGAACCAGGGGACCCUUUAAAAGGAUGCCAGUCAGGAAGGAUAGACUCCGAAGUGGCAUCAUCUCAAGGAGUCUGCUCUGACAAGUCAUCCCUCAAAACACCAACUCCAUCUGUGUCACCACCAGCAUAUCCCAUAAAAGAUCAAGGGCUGCAUGAUGCAGGUCAAACACGGGAAUCAACUCAGGAUUUGGUCAUUUCUCAAAGACAUACAUUCGGGACCUGUUCAAGGCGCAGGAGCCAGAAGCCUCCACCUUACCCCUAUGCCAGCACAAUGGGAAGAGUGACUCCUAAAGCAAAAGACAAAGGUCAGAAGACGCCACCCUACCCAUUUAGACGGAGACUGCUCUCAACCAUUGUUUGAGAAGACUGUGGCUUCAGGGUACAACGUGGAGCAUUACACACUCUACAUGGUAUACCGUGUUCCAGGCACCUUUGUGGUAAGUUUGGGCUUUAUUGGACCUGAUAACUCAGAGCGCAGCAGCAAUUUAUUGUACAGAAAGUCUCUUAGAUCGCAGGUGAACCGUGUAAUACCUUUUCUCUUUAGGUCUAUAAAGAGGACACGACAGAAACAUCAUGUACUAAUAAAUCUAGAGAGUGACAUGGGUGACUGGGGACC